AACAAGGCGUACCUGCGGACCUGCGGAAGGAUCAUUACCGAGUUUACAACUCCCAAACCCCUGUGAACAUACCACUUGUUGCCUCGGCGGAUCAGCCCGCUCCCGGUAAAACGGGACGGCCCGCCAGAGGACCCCUAAACUCUGUUUCUAUAUGUAACUUCUGAGUAAAACCAUAAAUAAAUCAAAACUUUUAACAACGGAUCU
rnacentral:misc_RNA from 1 species